AGAGUUUGAUCAUGGCUCAGAUUGAACGCUGGCGGUAGGCUUAACACAUGCAAGUCGAGCGGUAACAGAGGUAGCUUGCUAUCUGCUGACGAGCGGCGGACGGGUGAGUAACGCGUAGGAAACUGCCUGGUAGUGGGGGAUAGCCCAGAGAAAUUUGGAUUAAUACCGCAUACGCCCUACGGGGGAAAAGGGGCUUCGGCUCUUGCUAUCAGAUGUGCCUGCGUAAGAUUAGCUUGUUGGUGAGGUAAUGGCUCACCAAGGCGACGAUCUUUAGCUGGUCUGAGAGGAUGAUCAGCCACACUGGAACUGAGACACGGUCCAGACUCCUACGGGAGGCAGCAGUGGGGAAUAUUGCACAAUGGGCGAAAGCCUGAUGCAGCCAUACCGCGUGUGUGAAGAAGGCUUUCGGGUUGUAAAGCACUUUCAGUAGGGAGGAAGGCGUUGUAGUUAAUACCUGCAACGAUUGACGUUACCUACAGAAGAAGCACCGGCUAACUCCGUGCCAGCAGCCGCGGUAAUACGGAGGGUGCAAGUGUUAAUCGGAAUUACUGGGCGUAAAGCGCGCGUAGGCGGCUUGUUAAGCCAGAUGUGAAAGCCCCGGGCUCAACCUG
rnacentral:rRNA from 1 species